rnacentral:rRNA from 1 species
UACCAGCUCUCCGAGUCGGUAGGGAUGAUUAUUGGGCUUAAAGCGUCCGUAGCCGGCUUAGCAAGUCUCCUGUUAAAUUCAGCGACCUAAUCGUUGAGCCGCGGGAGAUACUACUAGGCUAGGAGGCGGGAGAGGUCGACGGUACUUUCGGGGUAGGGGUGAAAUCCUAUAAUCCCGGGAGGACCACCAGGGGCGAAGGCUGUCGACUAGAACGCGCUCGACGGUGAGGGACGAAAGCUGGGGGAGCGAACCGGAUUAGAUACCCGGGUAGUCCCAGCUGUAAACGAAGCGGGCUAGGUGUUGGGGUGGCUACGGGCCACUUCAGUGCCGCAGGAAAGCCAUUAAGCCCGCCGCCUGGGGAGUACGGCCACAAGGCUGAAACUUAAAGGAAUUGGCGGGGGAGCAACACAAGGCGUGAAGCUUGCGGUUC